GACAAGUCUCAGGAGCGUCAUGCAGGUUCUGUUUGCUCUGAUCACUGUCACUGAAAUGGCCGGCGCCUGACUCCAAAUGCUCCCCACUACUCGCUGUGGCAGUCUUCUGCUGACCUCACCUCCCUAAGCUGUCCCAGGGAGGGGAAGGAGGCCGAACCCGGCCAGCCACGGUAGGCUCCUUCCGGUAGAGGUCCCUGUUCUAACCCUCAGGCAGGCCCGACCUGGCUCAGCGAAACCUGUCCUUUGAACUGCUAGGUCGCCACGUCUCUUAUCGCAAACUAUUUAGCUAAAGCAAAAGGAGAACAAAUUCGCGAGAAAAUACAACCGCUCCACGAUACCAACAAAGGACUACUUACCAGCAGAUCGGCCCGCCAUUUUGACCUAAGAGUGAAGCGCUGCCUUCUGGCUCUAGGACUAUAUGCAGUAGCCAUCAUGAAGUCUGAAGGAUAGGAGUAAGUAUAUACAUUUGUACAUUGGCACAUUGCUUUGCAAACAGUAUUCAUUAAACUUCACCCUGACAAGUUUCAGCACCAGGGUGAAAGAUGCUAAAGAAGAAGAUCAUAUGUCAAGAAAUUACACUACUUUGAUUCUUUAAAUUUUAGACAUAUACAUGUGAUACGUUAGCAUACCCCUCACACACACCUGCAAAAAAAUUUUUAAAGAUUAAGCUUUAAGAUUUCUUUUCCC